AUUAGAUACCCUGGGUAGUCCACGCAGUAAACGAUGGAUGCUAGCUGUCCGGGGCGAAUGAGUUCUGGGUGGCACAGCGAAAGCGUUAAGCAUCCCACCUGGGGAGUACGCCGGCAACGGUGAAACUCAAAGGAAUUGACGGGGGCCCGCACAAGCGGAGGAACAUGUGGUUUAAUUCGAUGAUACGCGAGGAACCUUACCCGGGCUCAAACGGCACAGUGAUACUUUUGAAAGGAGGUAGCUCUACGGAGACUGUGCCGAGGUGCUGCAUGGUUGUCGUCAGCUCGUGCCGUGAGGUGUCGGCUUAAGUGCCAUAACGAGCGCAACCCCUAUUGUCAGUUGCCAGCAGGUAAAGCUGGGGACUCUGACGAGACUGCCGGCGCAAGCUGAGAGGAAGGCGGGGAUGACGUCAAAUCAGCACGGCCCUUACGUCCGGGGCGACACACGUGUUACAAUGGCAGGCACAGCGGGAAGCCACCCGGCGACGGGGAGCGGAACCCGAAAGCCUGUCUCAGUUCGGAUCGGAGUCUGCAACUCGACUCCGUGAAGCUGGAUUCGCUAGUAAUCGCGCAUCAGCCAUGGCGCGGUGAAUACGUUCCCGGGCCUUGUACACACCGCCCGUCAAGCCAUGGAAGCCGGGAGCGCCUGAAGCGCGUGACCGCGAGGAGCGCGCUAAGGUGAUACCGGUGACUGGGGCUAAGUCGUAACAAGGUAAC
rnacentral:rRNA from 1 species